UACGUAGGGUGCGAGCGUUAAUCGGAAUUACUGGGCGUAAAGCGUGCGCAGGCGGUUCGUUAAGUUCGAUGUGAAAGCCCCGGGCUCAACCUGGGAACUGCAUUGGAAACUGGCGAGCUUGAGUGCGGCAGAGGGGGGUGGAAUUCCGCGUGUAGCAGUGAAAUGCGUAGAGAUGCGGAGGAACACCGAUGGCGAAGGCAGCCCCCUGGGCUAACACUGACGCUCAUGCACGAAAGCGUGGGGAGCAAACAGG
rnacentral:rRNA from 1 species